GCGACGCCGCGUGGAGGACGAAGGUCUUCGGAUGGUAAACUCCCUUUAGAGGGGAAGAAAAAAAUGACGGUACCCUCAGAAAAAGCCACGGCUAACUACGUGCCAGCAGCCGCGGUAAUACGUAGGUGGCGAGCGUUACUCGGAAUUACUAGGCGUAAAGCGUAUGCAGGCGGUUUGAUAAGUCCUCGGUGAAAUUUUCCGGCUCAACCGGAAAGGGAACGAGGAUACUGUCAGGCUUGAGUGUGGCAGGGGGAGACGGAAUUCCUGGUGUAGCGGUGAAAUGCGUAGAUAUCAGGAGGAACACCGAUGGCGAAAGCAGUCUCCUGGGCCAAUACUGACGCUAAAGUACGAAAGCUAGGGUAGCAAACAGGAUUAGAUACCCUGGUAGUCCUAGCUGUAAACGAUGUUCACUAGAUGUGGGAGGUAUCGACCCCUUCCGCGUCGACGCUAACGCAUCAAGUGACCGCCUGGGGAGUACGGCCGCAAGGUUGAAACU
rnacentral:rRNA from 1 species